rnacentral:rRNA from 1 species
AGAGUUUGAUCAUGGCUCAGANNCGAACGCUGGCGGCGUGCCUAACACAUGCAAGUCGAACGUGAACGGGGGCAACCCCUAGUAAAGUGGCGUACGGGUGAGUAACACGUAGGUAAUCUACCUUAGAGUUCGGAAUAACCUGCCGAAAGGCGGGCUAAUACUGGAUAGAGCGACGGGGAUCGUAAUGAUCCUUUCGGGAAAGGGAGCUCGAUAAGAGCCUUCGCUCUAAGAUGAGCCUGCGUCUGAUUAGCUAGUUGGUGAGGUAACGGCUCACCAAGGCGAUGAUCAGUAGCUGGUCUGAGAGGAUGAUCAGCCACACUGGAACUGAAACACGGUCCAGACUCCUACGGGAGGCAGCAGUGGGGAAUCUUGCGCAAUGGACGAAAGUCUGACGCAGCCACGCCGCGUGAGUGAAGAAGGCCUUCGGGUUGUAAAGCUCUGUCACCUGGGACGAAAACACCUUGGGGUUAAUAGCCCGAGGAAUUGACGGUACCAGGGGAGGAAGCACCGGCUAACCUCGUGCCAGCAGCCGCGGUAAUACGAGGGGUGCAAGCGUUGCUCGGAAUUAUUGGGCGUAAAGGGUUGGUAGGUGGUCUUGUUUGUCUAGGGUGAAAUCCCACGGCUUAACCGUGGAAGUGCCCUAGAAACGGCAAGACUAGAGUCCUAGAGGGGGUUUGUGGAAUUCCCGGUGUAGCGGUGAAAUGCGUAGAGAUCGGGAGGAACACCAGCGGCGAAGGCGGCAAACUGGAUAGGCACUGACACUCAACAACGAAAGCGUGGGGAGCAAACAGGAUUAGAUACCCUAGUAGUCC